CCAUCUUGAUUUGUUUCUUGUCAAAGUGUUCAGAAGAACAAUAUUAUCUUAUGUAGUGAGUAAACUAAACUAUAACAGACUCUACGAUGUCAAAGAUAGACCAAGCUUAAACCGGAAUAUCUUUUUUUUUUCUUUUUUUUAAUUAGUAAGAUUUUAAAUUUUUCGUAACUUAAACAGGAAUUUUAAUCUGGUCUUUUGCGGCUAUACUCUGCAUGCAUGUUUUAGUGAUGUAAAGCGACCCGACCGAGUCGUGUUGUAAACUUGUUUGAUC
rnacentral:lncRNA from 1 species